rnacentral:rRNA from 1 species
CCUACGGGAGGCAGCAGUGGGGAAUAUUGCACAAUGGGCGCAAGCCUGAUGCAGCCAUGCCGCGUGUAUGAAGAAGGCCUUCGGGUUGUAAAGUACUUUCAGCGGGGAGGAAGGNGAUGAGGUUAAUAACCUNGUCNAUUGACGUUACCCGCAGAAGAAGCACCGGCUAACUCCGUG